rnacentral:rRNA from 1 species
GAUGAACGCUGGCGGCGUGCCUAAUACAUGCAAGUCGAGCGAACAGACGAGGAGCUUGCUCCUCUGACGUUAGCGGCGGACGGGUGAGUAACACGUGGAUAACCUACCUAUAAGACUGGGAUAACUUCGGGAAACCGGAGCUAAUACCGGAUAAUAUAUUGAACCGCAUGGUUCAAUAGUGAAAGACGGUUUUGCUGUCACUUAUAGAUGGAUCCGCGCCGCAUUAGCUAGUUGGUAAGGUAACGGCUUACCAAGGCAACGAUGCGUAGCCGACCUGAGAGGGUGAUCGGCCACACUGGAACUGAGACACGGUCCAGACUCCUACGGGAGGCAGCAGUAGGGAAUCUUCCGCAAUGGGCGAAAGCCUGACGGAGCAACGCCGCGUGAGUGAUGAAGGUCUUCGGAUCGUAAAACUCUGUUAUUAGGGAAGAGCAAAUGUGUAAGUAACUAUGCACGUCUUGACGGUACCUAAUCAGAAAGCCACGGCUAACUACGU